rnacentral:precursor_RNA from 10 species
AUUCAGGUAUCGAUGAUGAUAGCGUCUGGCUAAUAUCAGCAGGUAAAUCGGAGAUCUGCCUCAGCGUCCUUCGCUGGUACGGCAUCAGGAGAAAACUCCGGAUGCCUACUGGUAUUAGGCGGACGCGUCUGACUGCAGCCAAAAGCAUC